ensembl:lncRNA
CUUAUUUGGUCUGUACCGGUUUGAACUGGGAAAGCUGACACACGAACCUUUUUUCAUCUAUAUAAACUGCUGUGUAUCAAAUAAACCUUUGAGUCGAUUGGGAAGGCAACCUAAAGCAGUCUCUGUUUUCUUGUUCUCCCAAGCUGCUCCCGAGCUCGUACUAACACGCUGAAUGGCAUACCUGAGUGUUACUUUAAAUAAUUAGGAAUCUUAGAAGGAAAGGACAGAACUCUGCUUAUCGCUCACGCCACGGAGGAAACCCGGGAAGGCAAUUUCCUUCAAUUUUGGUGUCAGAAGUGGGAUCCUGACAGAAGAAGGAACAUCCUCUGUGUCAGCUGGACCCUCAGCAGAGAAUGAACUCAACAUCCUUUUUGUCCGGUACUCUAUGUCACACACUGUGCCAAAAAAAACGUGUACAGACGCCACUAACAGGUAAUCCCAUGACUGGGAGCCACACUUUUGUUUCUCUCACACUGUUCAACAACAUGAUAACUGCUCACACAAGUGAAGGUCAAACAG